ensembl:lncRNA
GGGGGGAGAAAAAAAAAGUACAAUCAUGUCAUGCAUUUACAACGAAAUGUCACACCUUGUUCUUUGCCCAUAUCGUAAAGUCACAGCUGGAAGCGAGGCCAGACCAGUAACGCAAGGCCACGCAGACCGGUUCAUUCCGGUUGCCAAUACAGCUCAAACGCUUCCUCAAAGUCCCGCUGUUGGAAGAGAGCCACUGCACGCGUCUGCUGACGUGUCGCGCGGAACCGCCUGCGCGUCGUCGGUCGCCAUGUCCUCGUAGACAUUACCCAUCAGGUACUGCGUGGUGUUUUCCGGCGCCAUUGCCCCCGACGGUUGGCGGUGCGCGCAGGCCGCAACGCGCCCUUCCUCGCGCGCGGACUCCAUUUUGGCCUUCCCGCCGAUGCCUCCCAGGAGUUCAGCCAGAUCAGCCAGCCGCGGCCGCCUCGGCGCCCGCCCAAGGUAUUUCCGGAUGGUCCUCAACGCGCUGCCUCGACACUGCUUCAAGGCCUCGUCCACCUCACCGUCCUCCGCGAAGACGCGGGGCCGUAUCCACCUCAGCUUCGAUCCUGGUUUCAUGGUUUUACGCAGACAGCUGUUUCUCAACUUCUUCGAGCUGGUGUCCAUUGCUUCUACACACAUCUCCGACCAAAAAACUGCAGUAGAGGAAAAAAUGGCGACGAGGGUGACUUGGCGGCUUUCGUUUAAAACAAAAAAGAUCUUCCUCGGAGUCAAAAGUGUUAAAAAAUAUUAAGGAUAGGGUUAUCCAACAAGCUGUUAUCUUUUCGAAUAUGAAAAGUAACAAACUAAAAGAAGUAUUUACUAAAUAUUCAGAGCUACGAACUGCGCCCUACUCUUAAGACCUAUCGCCGUCGACUACGUUCCAACGGAGGGAACACGUUGCAAUUUAUACUAUUAAACACCCACAAUGCUUUGCUUUCCGGAACUAACAGUGUCAGCGGUGAUGUGGUGCUGCCACCUACUGGUGCGGAGUGAGACAUGUGAUACCCCGACCGAUACCCCAACAGAGGCACAGUGCUCAUAAGUUAUAACUGAAUACAAUGAAUCAUACUUUAAGGAAUAAAAACAUUUUAAUCAAUA